AGGAGGAGGAGGGAGAGGAGGGAGAGGGCCAUGCAGGAGUGGCGCCCCCCACUGGACGCUGUGGUGGUGGUGGUGGUGCUGUUGUGGUGGUGGUGUUGGUGUGUUGGUGUGUUGGUG